UUUCGAUGAGCAGGGUCUGACAAGAACAGAACACCGUGUCUUCAGUGAACUCACCACAGACGUAUUACAACACCGCUAUCAUCAGAUCGCUUCCUCAGACAGAAGGAAUUCCUGCCAGUUCUGAUACGCAGUUGAGUUGUGGUUUAACUCCUUGUGCUGAGAACGCCACGGGGAGUCAGAUGGAGCGGCCCUGUGUUCUCUCUACGCAGUGCAGGUAGAGAACACCUUUGCAGAGACAGAGGCCAUGUCACAUUGAUAUUCUCAUUCAUUCGCUUCAAGCCACUACAAGCUCAAGAUCAUGAAGCCUAAUGUUCCCGACUCACACUUUCCCACCCAUGAGAGCAAUGACCUUGUGCAGGUGAAGGUCAUGCCCCCGGAGAAGGGCCGAGUGUAGACCUGUUUCUUUGACCAAAGUCAAGAAUGAAAGGGAGAAGAUGCUUCCUUAGUGGAAGGCAAAGGGGGACAUUUUAAUCCACAGAAAUGUGCGUGUGAGGAACGGGAAGCAGAACUCAGCUGCCUUGGUUUCCG
rnacentral:lncRNA from 1 species